GGGCUAAUAGCUCAGUGGUUAGAGCUACUGGUAUAUGUCCAGGGGAUCAUGGGUUCAAUCCCCAAGUAUUAUUUAUCCCA